GUGGGGAAUUUUGGACAAUGGGGGCAACCCUGAUCCAGCAAUGCCGCGUGCAGGAAGAAGGCCUUCGGGUUGUAAACUGCUUUUGUACGGAACGAAACGGUCUGGGUUAAUACCCUGGGCUAAUGACGGUACCGUAAGAAUAAGCACCGGCUAACUACGUGCCAGCAGCCGCGGUAAUACGUAGGGUGCGAGCGUUAAUCGGAAUUACUGGGCGUAAAGCGUGCGCAGGCGGUGCUGUAAGACAGGCGUGAAAUCCCCGGGCUCAACCUGGGAAUUGCGCUUGUGACUGCAGUGCUGGAGUGCGGCAGAGGGGGAUGGAAUUCCGCGUGUAGCAGUGAAAUGCGUAGAUAUGCGGAGGAACACCGAUGGCGAAGGCAAUCCCCUGGGCCUGCACUGACGCUCAUGCACGAAAGCGUGGGGAGCAAACAGGAUUAGAUACCCUAGUAGUCC
rnacentral:rRNA from 1 species